rnacentral:rRNA from 1 species
UUGGAGGGCAAGUCUGGUGCCAGCAGCCGCGGUAAUUCCAGCUCCAAUAGCGUAUAUUAAAGUUGUUGCAGUUAAAAAGCUCGUAGUUGAAUUUCGGGAUCAAUGUUUCGGUCAUGCCGUUGGUAUGUACUGAUAUUAUUGGUUUCUCACCUUCUAAAGAACCGUAAUGCCAUUAAUUUGGUGUCACGGGGAAUUAGGACUGUUACCUUGAAAAAAUUAGAGUGUUUAAAGCAGGCUCACGCUUGAAUACAUUAGCAUGGAAUAAUGAAAUAGGACAUCCGAUUCUAUUUUGUUGGUUUCUAGGAUCGAUGUAAUGAUUAAUAGGGAUAGUUGGGGGCAUUAGUAUUCAAUUGUCAGAGGUGAAAUUCUUGGAUUUAUUGAAUACUAACUACUGCGAAAGCAUUUGCCAAGGAUGUUUUCAUUAAUCAAGAACGAAAGUUAGGGGAUCGAAGACGAUCAGAUACCGUCGUAGUCUUAACCAUAAACUAUGCCGACUAGGGAUCGGAUGAUGUUAAUUUUUUAAUGACUCAUUCGGCGCCUUACGGGAAAC